rnacentral:rRNA from 1 species
CCUACGGGCGGCAGCAGUGGGGAAUAUUGGGCAAUGGACGCAAGUCUGGCCCAGCAACGCCGCGUGAAGGACGAAGGCUUUCGGGUUGUACACUUCUUUUAAGGGGGAAGAGCAGAAGACGGUACCCCUUGAAUAAGCCAUAGCUAACUACGUGCCAGCAGCAGCGGUAAUAAGUAGGUGGCAAGCGUUGUACGAAUGUACGGGGUUGAAAGGGCGUGCAGCCGGAAAGACAAGUCAGAUGUGAAAUCCUGCGGCUCAAACGCGGAAAUGCAUUUGAAACUGUUUUUCCUGAGUAUCGGAGAGGUAAUCGGAAUUCCUAGUGUAGCGGUGCAAUGCGGAGAUAGUAGGAAGAACACCAGUGGCGAAGGCGGAUUACUGGACGACAACGGACGGUGAGGCGCGAAAGCGUGGGGAGCAAACAGGAUUAGAUACCCGGGUAGUC